rnacentral:lncRNA from 1 species
GGAAUUUAAACUCAGAGUAAUGCAUUAUUUCUACCUCUUAUCUCCCUCAACAAUUUCAAGACUAAAAUUUAGAGGUACUUUAAUAGGUAGUUACUACAUACAUAUGUUUAAUUACCAAAAAUAUUCAGCAAUCAAGAGAAAAUCAUGUUAUUUUAAAUAACGCAUUAUAUAAUGUAAAGUCUACUUAUAGUAAUGAAUUCAUGCAUUUUGACAGUUUAUCUCAUUUGUUUCUGAAUCUCUGCAGUUAAGUAUUAUCUUUGCAAAUGACUGAUUUAAUAUCACAGCUUCCUGUGUGAUGAGCCAUUUAUUCCUCUUUUAUUUUUUGUAUAUUUCUUUUGCAAUAUUUUUGUAUAUUUCUAUAUCAUUUUGUAUAUUUCUAUACUUUUGUAUAUUUCUAUAUCAUUGUUGGCAUGCUAAAAUCUGUUAUAUGAUGAGUAAAUAUUAUUAUUUUAAUGUAAGAAGAAAAAUCUCUGCUUUUAUUUCCAUAAAUAGCCUGGAGGUUCCUGGAUCCUGCCUACUUUUAACCCAUUGUUUAACUGACCUGAUGAUGGAACAGAAAUAAAAUAUAUGGAAGAACAUAAAUAAAUAUAUGAGGAAUUGGUGCUGGGCUCUUGUUGCUUCUAAGGGGAUGAAGAAGACAUAGAAGAGUAAACUGCAGCUUCUAGCAUCAUAACUGCUAAAUAAAUGUUUAUUGAAAGAAUGAAAAAAAUGGAUGAAUGAAUUAUAAAACUGGAAAAUGACUAUAAUGAUCUGUAAAAUCAUUGAGUACUUACCAUAUACCAGGCACUGUUUUAGCCCUUUAUGGAUGUCAUCAUUUUUAAUCAAUACACUAAUUCUAUUACAUAGGAACUAUUUCUUGUUCUCCAUUUUACAGAUGAAGAAACCGAAGUUCAGAAAGAUUAAGUAAUUAAUAGUAUCAAGGCCCUGUCCCUUUUAUAGCUCUGUAGCAUGUUCCUAAUUUCAUAGCCCUGGGGCAGGUCACCUAAUUUCAUACCAUAAUAGCCACUCUUACUGAGCCAGCCAAGGUGGUCUAUUUGUCUUUUCUGUUUUUAUUGCCACCUGCUGGUGAUGGUAUCUGCUUUUACACUAUGAUUGUCUCUUCCAGCUCCUUUUAUUUGUGACUUCUUAUUCCAAAGGUUGUUGGCACCAAUUGUCAGUGUACCUCUUCAGCCUUAACUUGGAAUAAGAAUAGGUCAGAACAGGCUGUCGAUUUCAAACACAACAUCAAGACCAGUCCAGUGCUUGGGUUUCAGGCCUGUGGAUUUCUGUCUGGAUUUUCACCCCGGUUAUCUUAACCUUGUAAGCAAAAGCAAAAUCCUGCUCAUGUUCUGUCCAGCCAGUUUACAGUUUAUUGACAUUAUGGAAGCCUUCAAUUCAUAAAUUCUGUUGUAUUUGGUCUAAUCUAAAAAGAUGUGAUGCUAGCUGUAGGUUUUUUUUUUUUUUUAGAGAGAGAGAGAAUUUUUUUUUAAUAUUUAUUUUUUAGUUCUCAGCGGACACAACAUCUUUGUUGGUAUGUGGUGCUGAUGAUCGAACCCGGGCCCCUCGCAUGCCAGGCGAGUGCACUACCGCUUGAGCCACAUCCCCAACCCAGCUGUAGGUUUUUAAAAUAAUAAUUUUUUUCCAAUUUGCUGUGAAUGGGCUUUUUUUUUUUUUUUGUCAGUGCUUUUUUCCUACAUCAGUUAAUGUGGUCAUGUGGGGUUUUUUUUCUUUAGUCUUUUGAUAUAAUGGAUUAUACUGAUUGGCUUUUGAAUGUUGAUCAACCCUUGAAUAUCUGAAAUAAAGCCCACAUUUUCAUAGUAUAGAAUUAUUUUAUACAUUAAUUCAUUUUGCUAACAUUUUGUUGAAGAAUUUUGUGUCUAACUUCAUGAGAAUUAUUGGCCUAUAGUUUUAUUUUUCUGGUUCUGGUAUUGUGGGAAUGCCUAUCUCAUAAAAUGAGUUGGGAAGUAUCCUCUCUUCCAUUUAUUCCUAUUUUUCUGGAAGAAACUAUGCAAAAUUGGUGUUAAAUACUUAUGUAAAUAUUUGGUAAGUUUUCCGGUGAAACUGUCAGGACCUGGAGAUGUGUUUUCAUUCCAGAUUUCUAUGUAUUGUGUUUUCAUUUUCAUUCCACUUUCUAGUUUCCCUUAUGAUUUCUUGGACUCUGUGGGUUAUUUACAAGUCUGUUGCUUAUUUUACAAGUUGUUGGUAAUUUUGUAGAUAUUUUUCUGCUACUAAUUUCUAGUUUAACUCCAUUUUUUCAGACCAUACAUUGCUGACUUUAAUUCCUUUAAAUUUUGAGAUUUGUUGAAUAUCCCAGAAUAUGUUCUAUCUAACUGUAUGUUUCAAAUGAACUUUUUAAAAAAGAGUUAUGUGUUCUGCUGUUUGGAGUAGAGUGUUCUGUAAAUCUAAAUCAUUGUCACGUUGGUUGACAGUAUUCAAAGUUCCCAUAACCUGACUGUCUACUUGUCACAUCAGUUACCUAUACUGAUGAGUGGAAAUCUGUGAUAAAGAUUUCUAUUCAGCUCUAACAAUUUUUGCUGCAUGUACUUUGAUAUUAUGUUACUAGGUAAAGGCAUAUUGAGGUUGUUAUGUCCUCUUGGUACACUGAUAUCUUUGUCAUUAUGAAAUAUUCCUCUAUAGGCAGGGGUUGUGGCUCAGUGGUAGAGUGGUUGCCUAGCAUGUGUGAGGCACUGGGUUCGAUUCUCAGCACCAUGAAUGAAUAAAUAAAUAAAGGUCCAUUGACUCCCCCACUCCAAAAAAAAAAAAAAAAGAAAAGAAAAGAAAGAGAUAUUCCUCCUUUUUCCCCUAGUAAUAUUCCUUACUUGGAA